rnacentral:lncRNA from 1 species
UGGAUCCAAAAAAAAAGAAUAAUAAGGCAGAUGAAGGUGUGUAUAUGAAUCUCACCUGCGUACUUCCUCAAGCUGCGUGACGGAAGGCAGGAGCUAGGUGAGGAGGUCGAGGAGCACUGCGACAGCCUCCCGAGGAGAAGCGGACUGGAGAUCCGGAGGUCUAUGCUCCCCGUUGUCUUCCUCCUCUCGCCAUCCCCGACUAGGACUCUUCUGGCGAAUUUGAGUAGCAGAUUUUUUUCAUCCAAUUUCUUCCUAGCAACCAACAAAGAUCACAUCAAAACAUAGAAUCACAGUAAACCAACAAAGCAACCAGAUUUGCACGCCCCAGUGCCGCUACUGCUUCCGCAGGAGUGCCAGGAGGAGCCGGCGUACAACAGUACAAGAACAAUUCCAAACACUGAGUACAAGAACAUAAAUCAAGAUAGAGAUCCACCAGUAUUCCAAAUCCCACCUCACAUCAACUCCAAAACUACAACAACAGUACAAGAACAAUUCCAAAUCAAGAGAGAGAUUCACCGAUAUUCCAAAUACCAGGCUUGACCGUGGUGAUGAGGCUCACUCCUCACGGGAGAGCAGUGCCGCCGGGGACAGCAUCAGCCAAGGGAAAGGGAGAGGGGAGGGUUGGCUCUCGAGUGCGACGAUGUUGAGGUCGAGGAGCACGGCGACCUCAAAGGCAGCCUCUGGGGGCGGCUGGGCGAGCUCCGUCCAUGGCCACACGCGCAGGAAGCCUCGUGGAGGAGGAGCGGCGUCGUCGAUGCGGUGGUGUAGCAGUGCCAGAGCCCAGAGGCGACCAACGAUGGAGGAGGCCAGGGGGAGACUGAGACGAAAGAGAUGGGGAAGUUUUGGAUCUGUAUCGGGAGGAAGGACGAAGGACGAUGGGCAACCCGAGACAGGGAGUGGGUUGGAGUCAGAUACGAUUUGACUGUAUAGCCACCGUAUACGCAGCUGGGACUUGAGAAACCAAUUUUUACGUGUGGGCCCGCAGUGGGCCAUGUGGCUCGUAUCACGAAGUGAAUGGGAGGUUGUGAUAUGCGCUUUGCAUGAAUCCACACGCGCUCGCUAGCGGAUAGGAUUUUUUCCUUCGCGUUCCAUACACAGCGUAAAUCCUAUCCGCUAGCGAGCGCGUGUGGAUUCGCGUUGCAUGCAGGCCAGGGCCCAAUGGGACCGCACAGUGCUCUCGUAUUCUCCCGUAUACCAGUUUACCACGCCUCCCCAUCCCACCGUAUUCCACAGUAGCUGGCCCACCCCCUUUCCCCCGCGACCCCACCUUGCAUCCUUCUUCUUCAUCUGUCUGUAGUGAACCAGAGCAUUCCGACUAGGAGUUUUUCUUUCUCAGCAACAAUGGCGCCUAGGAGCGGCUACACAGGAGAUGGAGGAAGCUCAAUCACGUCCAUGGAUCUAAGCCAUGGAAGUGUUGAAUCAAGUGAAUCUCUUCAGGUAUGUUCGCUAGCCUAUCCUUUAUUAUUCCCCCAAUUUUUCUUCAAGUCAGAUCCCCCUGAUCUGCAGCCUGUCAGAUCCGCCCCAUCCCACGAAAUCUCUUCUUCUUAACCUCUUUCCUCUCCUGAUCUGCAGCCUGUCGAUGCUACGGCGGAUGUACCUCCAGAAGAGAUUAUUGAUCCGGAGUUCUUCGGCAUAGAUACUUCCUCUCCACACUGAUGCCAUCACAAAAUGCAUCCAGCAAGAAAAGUGGCUUACAUCUAUGCGGCCACAGGCAGGAGAUUUCUUGGAUGCCCUCUCUCGGUACAGAUGAACUCAUGCUCUGCUGCAAUUUUAUCAUUUUUUCCAAUUCCAUCUGCAGUCAUUCACGUUUAGUCUAUCCUAUCCUUUUUGGUCUGUAUGCAGGGAGCUGAUAGGUGCCCCUGGUUUUUGUGGAUUGAUGAAGCAUGGGGUCAUGUACUUAGCCGUUCACUAAUGCAACUCUGGGAUCAGGCUCGUCUGGACUCUAAAAGAGCAGCAAUGUUGGAGACUAAGAAAAAGGAAAUGGAGCAGGCAUACUUAGAGUUGUGGGCUGAGAGAACCAAUCUGGAGAUUCAACACGAGCAGGUGGUCAACAAGUUGAAGAACACAAUAAUGGACACUGAGAUUAAGAUGUCAAGGAGGUUGGAUUUUCACACUAAGAUGUGUGUGGCAUUUAUUUCUUCAGCUGUUACCCUUGCUUCAGUGCUCGCUUAUGUGCUGUCUGCACAUUAGUUUAGUUUGGUAGUGAGCAUGUAUGUGCUGCAUUUGAAGCUGUCGGCAGUCUGUAUGACAAUUUAGUUUCAGAUUGUUAGUAAGCACGUAUGUGCUGCAUUUGAAUAUUUUGUAUGUGCCAACUGAGUUCGAGUUUGUUGGUCCCGAAUCUAGUUCUUACUUAUCCCUGAUUUUUGUGUAUUAUGCUACUGGAAAUGAUGAAUGAGGUUCCAAGUUUUUUUAUCCUGGGCGCUUGCAUGUCUUUUUAUCCUUUAAAAGAUUUGCACAUCAGUUAUUAUCAUGUUACAUCUGAAGUUCCAAAGGCAGUUUUUAAGUACACCUCGGAUAUUCUGGAUAGGUGGUAAGUUCUUUUGAUGCUACAACUGAAUUUCCGAAGGUGGUCUUGACAAUUUGUUCUCUUUGAUAAGUAUGAAAAUCGAGUCUUCCUGUCAUCUGUACCAGAUUCAGAGAAAUCACUAUAGUUAUUAUUUUUUGAACACAGUGACAGUGAUUGUGUUUAUGUAAUGCAAUUUUUUUCAUCUAAUUGAGGAUGUUUUCCGAGGUGACAUAUGUACUGAGGAAAUGCAUUUUUUUCCAAACAGGUUAGCUGAAGACCAAUUCCAACAUAUUUUGUACUGUUCACACUUUUGAAGUUUGGUCGCAUUAUACGUAUGCAGCAUUUGGAUGAUGCAAAAAUCACUGGCAAAACAAAGGAGUUGAAAUCAGCAACAAUUUCAUAGUUUACUUCGUUCUUAAGAAGGUACUCUUCUGAUCCUAUUAUAGAUUCAUCUAUCAAUCGCAUUUCCCACAUUGUACCAUUGUUUUAUCAACCUUUGUUGUGUACUUGAUCUGUUUUUCGCAAGUCAAUCAUAUAUCAAGUCCUGUACUUCUCGCAAUCAUCCUAAUGACUUGGUCUCGUAUAUGUUUUUUUUGAAUUAUGCCACACCGGUAGUAUGCGAAACAAUGAACAGAAAGCAACUCGCAAAUAAAAUAACUUAACAUGUUCACCAAUUGAUAGCAAAUUAAUUCGGAGUACAUCAUAUUUUUGACCGCAUAAUUAGUUCGGAAGUCUUAACAGUCCUCUUCCAAAGCUAAACAAACACUGACAUUUCAAUUAGUCCGUCCACUCCCAGCAAAAGAACUUGUUCAUAUUGCCCUUCUUGUGAACAAGUCAAUCCUUGUUCUUGUCCUUCUUGCGAAUAAGGCAAUCCUUGUACCUCGCAGGAAGAUGACCAAUAUUACCUUCUGAACCAAGCAAAUCAACAAGCAUGUUCAUCCUAGCAUGCAUGACACCAUCACCCUGCGUUUGUUGAAAAAAGAGUUCCAGUUAGCGACUCAACUUUGUAACCACUUAUUUUGCAAGCAUCUUAAGUGUUGGAAAUAUCUUACCGGGUUCAUAUCCCUUUUCAGUUUACUUCCCAUCCAAUUCCUUCCAAAGUGAGUAGCAUAUAUCCCUGUGUCUUCCCUGAAAAACGUUUCAAGAUUGAUAAUGUCAGCCAUUAUAGAUUUCAAUAGACAUGAUUCCAAAUAUAGGCAUUAGGGUCACAACAAAAUCAUUACUUCUUGCAUAUCCCUGUUGCCAGGCCCCUUGGGAAGCAUGUAUUCCACGACCUCAUGUUUGGAUCCCAUCCAGAGAAGAAUGACUUUAUGCACAUCUCUAUAGCCUUGUGAAGUUCGUCUGCCACCUUCCUGUGCCUGAGCUGAAUUUCCUUAUCAGACUCAUCCCCAUUGUUCAUUGUUGGGUCGAGGACAAAAAUCUUCGACCUUGGAAAGUCCCAUAUGUACGUAGACCAUUUAAAGUCAAAUUUAACUGGCAACACAAACUGUUAAUGGAGAGAAAGGCACUGGAUAUUAGUAACUGAACAUUGAUGUUUGUCUUUCUUAAAUCAUUUGUGUUUUUUUAAUGUCACCUCGGUGCAUUUGUGAACCUCGUAAGUGAUAUGCGGCCCCACGAACAUGUCCUUGAUGUACCUCAGCUUUGAAAUGUUGUCUCCUCUACUAACAUGGUUCUGCAAGUUUUGCAAUUUAUGAGUAACACAUAGCUGAGGCAUCAAAGUUUGCUUAUUCAUUAAUGAUUUUAGAAGAAGUUCCUCACCACAAAAUCUGGCUCCAGCCAAUGUCUCCAACAUCCCUCUCCUUUUGCAGCAGCGAAUACCACAUCAAUCUGUUGGUACCUUCUCAUCACCAAUGUCAUCAGCACGCUAUCCACCUCACCACCAUCGCGUAGCAUCUCACGGAGCCGUUCUCCACUAAUGUCCAUGUAUUUUGGGUUGGUGCUUAUAAUCCACAUGCUGGACAUUUGAAAUAAAGCAUAUAUUUAGUCAUCAAUGUAUGCAUUUCUAAGGGUAAUCAUGUAAAACAAAAGUAUACACUGCUUGUUUUCCUGUUGAGAGCUUACUCUUUUAGCUUGUUCGCGUUAUCUCUAUAUCUCCCUCCGGCCCCACAAUAUAAGAGAGUUUUUAACAAGUACAUCAGAAACACUCUUAUAUCACGGGACGGAGGGAACAUAUCUGAAUAGAUCAAAGUGGUUUUAUACAAUAUUUACUAAUAAUUCAGUCAAGAUUCCGUAGUUAACUAACUGAUGAAAUAAUACCAAAAGUGAAAUAAUAACAAAGUGCGGAGUCAUGAGGUACUAAGUACUGCAAAUCCUAAAAUAUUAAUCAGUCAGUUAGUACUUUAAGCAAUGUUGUCUGCUUCACUCAAAAAGCACUUUGGCUAAGAACAAACUAAGUUCUCUAGUACCUGCCCUUCACCGGAAAAGUGCUAAGAACGAGCAUAACACAAAUCUUGAACCAAGUGGUCAACUUGGUAAGCUAUCAACAAAAAAUUACAAUCACUGAUAACACAAAUCUUGAAUGCAAUAUACAAAAUCUAUCAAGCCGCAACCCCUUCCAGUCCACACAAAAAAAGAGGAUACAAGAGUCAUGCUCCUCCCUGGCCUUGACGUGUCUUCGCACCCAAAAAUCAAGUCGAAGAGCAUCUAGUGGCCGACCACGAGCCAUGCCCCGAGGUCGUGGAGCGGCAGCGACCUAGAACUCAUUUUUUUCGGAGAGCGACCUAGAACUCUGAAAAGUAAAGAAACAUUAGAGCAAAUUCAUUAGGAUCAAAUCCAGUAGGGUAUUUCUUUUUAGCACAUCAAUUGUAACAGCCAAGAUCCAUAGCAAAUCGAGGAGAAAAUAAAAGGAUUUUCAUCAAAGAAAUAUAGUAUAAGUUAAAAUAAAAGACAUCUGCAUCCACCCUCUUGCUGGAUCCAAAAAAAAAGAAUAAUAAGGCAGAUGAAGGUGUGUAUAUGAAUCUCACCUGCGUACUUCCUCAAGCUGCGUGACGGAAGGCAGGAGCUAGGUGAGGAGGUCGAGGAGCACUGCGACAGCCUCCCGAGGAGAAGCGGACUGGAGAUCCGGAGGUCUAUGCUCCCCGUUGUCUUCCUCCUCUCGCCAUCCCCGACUAGGACUCUUCUGGCGAAUUUGAGUAGCAGAUUUUUUUCAUCCAAUUUCUUCCUAGCAACCAACAAAGAUCACAUCAAAACAUAGAAUCACAGUAAACCAACAAAGCAACCAGAUUUGCACGCCCCAGUGCCGCUACUGCUUCCGCAGGAGUGCCAGGAGGAGCCGGCGUACAACAGUACAAGAACAAUUCCAAACACUGAGUACAAGAACAUAAAUCAAGAUAGAGAUCCACCAGUAUUCCAAAUCCCACCUCACAUCAACUCCAAAACUACAACAACAGUACAAGAACAAUUCCAAAUCAAGAGAGAGAUUCACCGAUAUUCCAAAUACCAGGCUUGACCGUGGUGAUGAGGCUCACUCCUCACGGGAGAGCAGUGCCGCCGGGGACAGCAUCAGCCAAGGGAAAGGGAGAGGGGAGGGUUGGCUCUCGAGUGCGACGAUGUUGAGGUCGAGGAGCACGGCGACCUCAAAGGCAGCCUCUGGGGGCGGCUGGGCGAGCUCCGUCCAUGGCCACACGCGCAGGAAGCCUCGUGGAGGAGGAGCGGCGUCGUCGAUGCGGUGGUGUAGCAGUGCCAGAGCCCAGAGGCGACCAACGAUGGAGGAGGCCAGGGGGAGACUGAGACGAAAGAGAUGGGGAAGUUUUGGAUCUGUAUCGGGAGGAAGGACGAAGGACGAUGGGCA